rnacentral:lncRNA from 1 species
CUCUAAGCUGAACUUGGGCCCUGCCCUUGGUUACUGACCUACUCGAGCCAGGACUGGGCUCGGUCGGGUAGGUUGGAACCCUGGGCCACCGUUUCGGUAUACUCGAGUAUUACCACUGGAGGGAUAAGGUGAUGGCCAGUCAAACCGAGGGGAUCCGGAAGUCAUAAGGUGCAGAUGACCGACAGAGUUCCACUGGAACACCGUAUCCUACAGUAUAUAUUUACCUUGUGUCAUGAUAAUUGUUUCAUGCUAAAAUGCCAACAUGAAAUCCUGAGCCAUGCCUGUGUUAUGCUCCAUACCUGUUACCUGUCCAAUGUACUCAUAUCAUGAUACCUGUUUC